CGCGCGAGAGCACACGUUAUAAGUUACACGAGACGAGUCCCAUGCGCCAGUCGUUUCAAAUCGCUUAUUGGGCGCCGGCGGGAAAGAAGUGCGCAUGCAGCCGUGCGGCCUAAUGGCGAAGAGCGUCGGGCUGUUGUUGUGCAGCUGGAAGAAAUGGCUUCGACCCCACCAUCGUGGACGGAAACCAAAGAGUCCCGGAUAAAAGGUGCUUCUUUGCACCUGACUACGUCUGGGAGCCCAUACAAACUGUACGCGUAUCACAAGAGCGCUCUACAAAUCAGGUACGAAUUUCAAUUUCUACUGAUUUGAAAUUCGAAGAAUGGCCUACGCAAAGCGGAGAACGCGCAGCGUAUUUUGCGACUUCUUAUCGCGCGCGCGCCCUGGCGACAGGCUUUGGCCAUACGGCGACGGCGAAAGUUUAUAAACUUAGCGAGAGGCACGCCACAUAUGCGCUCAUGAAAAAGCGGCGUGUCACAUACAAACUCUGGAUACUCCGUCCUUGCGGUAAAUACACAGGUCUCUUUUUCUUUCUUUAAUGACCGCGUGCGUAGCCUACGAUGAUGUCAAUGGCAAUGCUAUCACUUCUCUCUCGCGCGCUAGUUGCGGCACGGAGCAAUGUGGGUCGAGCAUGUGGGUAAAGGCACCUGACGCACGCGAAGCGUAGGCAAUGAAAGAAUAAUCGAAAGACCUGGAACGUCAGAAAUGAUUUAUAAAGCCGCUGUGUCGUAUACUGGAAGUGCAGGUCAGAGUACCUCGCAGAAGAAAGACAAAAAAAGAACAUUUUACUGACGCCACUAAAUCGAAUGCAAACUUGUUUACUUAAUCCGCAUUAUAUUUUCGUCUGGAAUCUCGCAAACUACAGCACGCACAGGCAAGAAAAGAAGAAAGAAAGAAAAUCAAAGCAGACGACAUGCUCAAAGCUUAUCAUGUGCGCUAUUAUUUAUAUUUAUUGUUUUUUUUUACUUAUGCGGAUCCCAUCCUCUGCAGUAGUCAGCGCUGCUCUUUUAAUAUGAAAUAUGCACCUUCUAUAUGGUUGUGCCACUUGUUGUGCACUCAGGUUUAGAAAGCAGCGCAGCGCUGUACUUAAAUCAAUGUGAUUACGUCAAAGGGGGCAUCGCGUCAUCCUACUGCUGCGAAAGCGGUCACGUCUGAAACAUCUGUCGCGCGGUGACCGAUACGACAUACGGGCAGCGCUCGCAAAGAACAACAGCCCAUGGAAAGAAAGAAAAGAAAA